rnacentral:rRNA from 1 species
GGAAUUUUGGUCAAUGGUCGAAAGCCUGAUCCAGCAAUGCCGCGUGCAGGAUGAAGGCCCUCGGGUUGUAAACUGCUUUUGUACGGAACGAAAAGACUGAGGCUAAUAUUCUCGGGUCAUGACGGCACCGUGAGAAUAAGAACCGGCUAACUACGUGCCAGCAGCCGCGGUAAUACGUAGGGUGCAAGCGUUAAUCGGAAUUACUGGGCGUAAAGCGUGCGCAGGCGGUUUUGUAAGACAGUGGUGAAAUCCCCGGGCUCAACCUGGGAACUGCCAUUGUGACUGCAAGGCUGGAGUGCGGCAGAGGGGGAUGGAAUUCCGCGUGUAGCAGUGAAAUGCGUAGAUAUGCGGAGGAACACCGAUGGCGAAGGCAAUCCCCUGGGCCUGCACUGACGCUCAUGCACGAAAGCGUGGGGAGC